GUUCUCAAACAUAAGCCAAUUCACAUUAAUAGAACACUUUCAUGUGAUCCCAAGGGAAAGAGGUUCCAUACACAAACAAGAAGGAAAGCAAUACGGAGGGUUAUAAAACCAGGGACAGAGUGGUACAUUGUUGUUGUUGCUUUUUUAAUUCUAGGAGGAAAGCUGGUUAUCUGGCUUAACCUAAUUAUUGUGUGAUACUGGAUCUCUUGCAUCACAAUGGGGAAUGAAAACAGCCGCACAGAAAAUCAGUCAGAAGUUGCUGGCACAAAUAAAGUCAUCCUAAUACCACCCAACGAAGGAACACAGCAGAAUAUUUCCUCAGCCCUGGCUCCGGAACCAGGCCAACCACCUGGUAAUGGGCAAGAUAUAAAAAAGAAAAAGCAGGAAAAGAAGAGUACAGACAGAUCUGGUGGUCAAGACGUCUUGAAUCUUCUACCUGCAACUACUGCUGCUCCACCACUGCCUGAUAAUGUCUCACCAUUAACCACAAGAGCUACAAGUUCUCCUGUGCCAGGUGAUGUCAUAAAAUUGGCUUCUUCCCCUGAUUCUUCCAAACAACUGUUAGCUGAUUCUCUGCCUUGUGAAAAUGUUGCUGCUCUGGGUGCUGCUGAGCUGACUGCAGCAAGCAUUUCCCAGCCUGGUAGCUGCAAAGAAGUUGAGAACCCUGUUACUUCUGUUCCUGAGGAUGCUUCCUUGGCUCCUACACCAGCCGAUGAUGUAGAAUCACUUGCUCAAGACAGUGAGGGAUUGGCAAAGGAAAUAAAGAGGUAUUGUGUAAUGAUGCGUUUUAUCCAACUUCUGUCUUGGGUGUUCCCUGCUUCAGAAUAUAU
rnacentral:lncRNA from 1 species